rnacentral:rRNA from 1 species
AUUGAACGCUGGCGGCAUGCUUUACACAUGCAAGUCGAACGGUAACAGGCCUUCGGGUGCUGACGAGUGGCGCACGGGUGAGUAAUGCAUCGGAACGUACCCAGAGGUGGGGGAUAACGCAGCGAAAGCUGUGCUAAUACCGCAUGUGAUCUGAGGAUGAAAGCGGGGGACCGAGCAGCAAUGUUUGGCCUCGCGCCUUUGGAGCGGCCGAUGUCGGAUUAGCUAGUUGGUGGGGUAAAGGCCUACCAAGGCGACGAUCCGUAGCUGGUCUGAGAGGACGAACAGCAACACUGGGACUGAGACACGGCCCAGACUCCUACGGGAGGCAGCAGUGGGGAAUUUUGGACAAUGGGCGCAAGCCUGAUCCAGCAAUGCCGCGUGCGGGAAGAAGGCCUUCGGGUUGUAAACCGCUUUUGGCAGGAACGAAACGGUGUCCGCUAAUACCGGGCGCUAAUGACGGUACCUGCAGAAUAAGCACCGGCUAACUACGUG